UUAAAUCGUCCAUCCUCCCAUUCUUUUCAAAUCGUCCAUCUUCCGCAUUGUGAGAUCAGUGAAAGCCAUUUGAGAUUUAUCUGUGCAUUUGCGAAAUAAGAAAUCAGGGGAAUUCACCAUGGCCAGAUUUAUCUCUGUUCUCGAUUUGAAGGCUUUCUCUCGACUUUGCGGACAUUAUUCUGGCGUUGGAAAUAUAGCCAGGAGAGAAUACAGCGCCAUAGCAAGCAAAAUGGAGUUACGGGGAAGGCAGGCGGAGGCAAAAUAAGCGGAGGAGAAGAGUAGACAGAGAAGUUGGAUGCCUCACCCCAUUACUGGCUACUAUUUACCAGAGGACCAUUUUGGGGAUAAUAAAGAUGUUCCCCAAUUAAAAGAAAGUAGAUUGAAGUACAACACUCUUCCCUCUCGCCCACAAAAUUGAUCUCUCAACAUUCAGAAUUCUCUUGUUCUUCGUCUGCAGCAGAUGCUUUUGGUCACAAGCUCUAUUGUAACGCGGAUUAGGGGAAAGGAUCCGGUAGUUGAGCACCCUAACUUCUCACUUUUCAAAAUCUGCACCCUGAGCUGAUGUGGCAUCACAUGAUUGGGGAACAUCAAAUCAUUCGGAUUUUUUUACAGCAGCUUACUUGACAAUUCCUGCUUAUAACUAAGGUUUCAAGGCCACAUCAUCAAAUGUGAUGCCACAUCAGCAUGCUUUUUGCCAAGGUGUCCAAAAAAGCCAAAAAAAAAAGUGAGACCAAUAGGUGUGCAAAAGGGCCCCAAUACUUGUGCAGCUGAUGUGGCAUCACAUGAUUGGUUACUUUUCACAACAAAUGAUAUAUUUCAUUCAAGUAUUGUUACUAAUUAUACAACUAUUGGUGCAAUGUUAUACAAAGGUUGGACAUUAAAUCAACAACUUCUAU